CUGGGUUGGAUGAGUGGCGAACGGGUGAGUAACACGUGAGUAACCUGCCCUCUUCUUUGGGAUAACGGUCGGAAACGGCUGCUAAUACCGGGUAUUCACUGUCCUUCGCAUGGGGGUGGUGGAAAGGUUUUUUCUGGUGGGGGAUGGGCUCGCGGCCUAUCAGCUUGUUGGUGGGGUGAUGGCUUACCAAGGCUUUGACGGGUAACCGGCCUGAGAGGGUGACCGGUCACAUUGGGACUGAGAUACGGCCCAG
rnacentral:rRNA from 1 species